AAUAAAGCCAUUACAAAAAUCGCUUUUUGUGGUGUUUUGGGUAUUUUUCCAAUAGGAUUUAAGACAGACAGCAUUAUACGUCCCAUUAAAACCAAUACAAUUCCCAUUUUAACCAUUAAAUCCGUUACAUUUUCUGUUGUGUUUUGGGUAGGGUUCUAUAGGUUUUUUUUCCCAACAGGGUGGUUAAACACAACACAACUGUAUUUAAACUUGACAGGAAAUGCGCGAAAAGUAUGGCAAGACACAGAAUGUGUGUUAUUUAUUCUGUCUUUCUGAUCGAGUGCUUAGAAUGAAAACUCUGGCAACCAGGCCAGGGGAAAAAACACCUGAGGGAAGCAAUAUACACCUUAUAACGACCUCUUCUUAAGUCAGCAGUUUGUGUCAAACAGUGCGCCAUGGCUUUAGAGAUGAUUCAGCUUCAGGAUAUCAAUGAUCUGAUCUUGAUUAAAUAAAGCAUGAGAUUAUGAAGCGCAUGUAAAACAGUAGCCGCCAGGGAGCGCCGUUUACCGUAUUUUCCAGACCUGCUCGGGUCCAGCAGACGUACGGGUCUCUGCAGCAAGCUAAUGGGAGGAACCGCGCCGGGGCGUUUCUAGACCCCCGUUACCCGGUUGGAUGACGUCACCGCGAGGGUCAGGGGGAUCAUCUUGAUCACGUGAUUCAGGAACGCCCGCUUCUGCCGCUUAGACGCUCCUUGCCGAUCUCAGAAAAGAGAUUCGAGCUGCUGAACCACAGCGUGUUGUAAAUUAACCAUAACUCGAGAUUUAUUUUUGUGCGUGACACUGCAACGCCUCCCGGUGUAACCGGAAACACGUGAUGUGUAAACACAGCAUUUAUGUUCGACAUGGUUCAUUUAAAUAGUUAAAUGCAUUAUUAUUAUUGCUAAUUGACUAAAGCAUAUAAAAUAUUAUUUAUACAUAUAUAUUUAUACAUACACACAUAUACACACACUCACACAACUACAGACUAUAAAAUAAAAAUGCAUAAAACGUUUUUGUUGUACGGUUCGUUAGGAUAGGACCAUAUUUAGCCGAGAUACAACAAUGGCAGGGAAUCUGAGGUUAAAAAAGGUUUGCUAUAUUAGCGGAAGUAAAUUUUAUAUGAAAAUCUCUUGAUAUCCUGCUGUUUUUUUUGGAAUAAAAGAAAAAAUUCGAGCCACACAGUUUUAUUGUUGAACACCGCUACAAAUAUACCUGUACUUAAGACCGGGUCACGUCUACGGCUGGGGGCGUCGUUUGGCCUUGACCUUUCACCCUUCGGUCUGACGUCACCGGGUUCUCAACGCACUCUGAUUGGCUACACACUAGCGAGCCACGCCCUUAUCUCUUUCACAGAACAUCUGCCCGUUUCAGAGAUAAGCGUAUCUCAAGUCAAAACGCGGUUGUAGUCAAUGCCCCAAAUUAGGGGCCGUUUUUACGUCACAUCUAACAUCACUAAGAGAAGAAACUUUGGGGAAUAAGAAAACCGAGAGUCACUGACGUUGUACGUGAAUACUAAAGAAACGCAUUCAGGCAAAUUUCAUUUAACUAAGGCAUGACGGGGAAAGAUGGUUGAUGCUACACUCUCACCAGCAAUGUGCUCCAACCAGUCAAGUGUGCACGUGCCAAGUUUAUUAUUUCAUAGAUACCAGUGCGUGAAUGAGAAAUGUCACUUUAUACAUCAGCCCCCGGAAGCCUAAAAAUGAACUUGCCAUAAAUGUAUUUAAUGGAUGUGAUGCUUUUAGAAAUCUUUCCUAUGGCACUGUACGGAGCCUGCGUGUUUUUUUAUGACUAAUGAUUUCUUGGUUCAGUGCUUGUGCUACAAGGAUGGCAAAAGGAAAUGGGUCACCCUGGGAUCCAACUUAACUUUAACCAGCUCACAGUGAUAACUCUGCCUCUGCAUCAUAUGCAAACCGUUGUGUUCAGCUUACUUCUACUGUCUCAAUCUGUAUUAUAAAAUAUAGAGCAGUGAUUAGAUGUAACAUGGUGUGAUGAUCCAGUUUUAGGGUGAAGACAGUCCACAAAAUAAAUCCCUGAAGCAAAUUGCAUGUGCAGUGAAUCUAUUUGGUGCGUUUUCGAAAUACUUCAUCUGAAAACCAUCUGCAUUUUGUAAAUUUUUCAAGUAUUUCAGCUUUGUGAUCCUUCUCAUAUCAGUGCAGGCAACUCCUGCAAUCUUUGUCAGCCACUGUUUUCUGCGAGGCAAUAUGCAUAUGGAAAUUUUAUGCAGAUGCAGUCAUAAAAAAAUUAAAAAGAAGGCAUCCUAGGAUCCAUUCGUGGUUACUUUGGGGACUUGAGAACAUGAAAAUAAAGCAGAUGGACCACGUGCAAAUUUGUAAAACCAUAUGUAUGAAAUAAAGCUUUUAACAAACCAAUAAGAUGCAGAGCCAAGGUGUCCAGUGUCUGUCUCUUUAAUUUCUAUUUUACCCUAAUUCGUCUCUCUUUUUUUUUUUUUCUUAAAAACUUCAAGUAUUUGUUGGGAACACAAAGUCCAAAAACAAAACGAACAAACAAAAAAAAAAAAAUAAUUCCUCUAAAAUGCAGAUACAAAGAAGAAGAAAAAAAAAAAUAACCAUCAUAAAACAACUGUUCAAUCAUUUUAUCAAAGCCAUAAUAGUCAUUAACACCAAUAUCAAGUUUUGAAUUUCUUAAAAAUGUCUAACAUCUAUCUUACGACUAAAAGAAAUUCACCAUUUACUUAAAAUGUUCACUUUCCGCUUGGCAGCCGGUAAGACUGAACCAACCCACCGAUCUUCAUUCCUGUCACUAUUUUGCUAGUUUUUCUAUCAACACAAUAGCAAAAGUGGUCAUAAAAACAACUUAAAAAAAAAAAAAAAAAAAAAAAAAAAAAAAAUUAC